rnacentral:lncRNA from 1 species
GGUGGAAUAAUAGUCAUGACUGGAGUACAGGUAUUGAAGGGUAUGUGCUGUUUAGGAAAGACAGAAAUAAAGGCAAAGGUGGUGGAGUAGUAUUGUAUAUCAAUGAUGAGGUAGACUGUAAAGAAAUAAGAAGUGAUGGAAUUGAUAAGACAAAGUCUGUCUGGACAAAAAUCACAUUGGGGAAGAAAGCUACUAGAGCCUCCCCUGGGAUAGUGCUUGGGGUGUGCUAUAGACUGCCGGGAUCCGAUUUGGAUAUGGAUAGAGACCUCUUUAAUGUUUGUAAUGAAGUAAAUACUAAUGGGAAUUGUGUGAUCAUGGGAGACAUUAACUUCCCAGAUAUAGACUGGAGGACAAGUGCUAGUAGUAAUAAUAGGGCUCAGAUUUUCCUGGAUGCGAUAGCUGAUGGAUUCCUUCACCAAGUAGUUGCUGAACCAACAAGAGGGGAUGCCAUUUUAGAUUUGGUUUUAGUGAGUAGUGAGGACCUCAUAGAAGAAAUGAUUGUAGGGGACAACCUUGGUUUGAGCGAUCAUGAGCUAAUUCAGUUCAAACUAAAUGGAAGGAUGAACAAAAAUAGACCUGUGACUAGGGUUUUUGAUUUCAAAAGGACUAACUUUAAAAAAUUAAAGAAAUUAGUUGGGGAAGUGGAUUGGACUGAAGAACUUGUGGAUCUAAAGGUGGAGGAGGCCUGGAUUUACUUCAGGUCAAGGUUGCAGAAACUAUCAGAAGCCUGGAUACUAAGAAAGGGGAAAAAACUCAUAGGCAGGAGUUGUAGACCAAGCUGGAUGAGCAAGCAUCUCAGAGAGGCGAUUAAGAAAAAGCAGAAAGCCUACAAGGAGUGGAAGAUGGGAGGGAUCAGCAAGGAAAGCUAUCUUAUUGAGGUCAGAACAUGUAGGGAUAAAGUGAGAAAGGCCAAAGGCCAUGUAGAUUUGGACCUUGCAAAGGGAAUUAAAACCAAUAGUAAAAGGUUCUAUAGCCAUAUAAAUAAGAAGAAAACAAAGAAAGAAGAAGUGGGACUGCUAAACACUGAGGAUGGAGUGGAGGUUAAGGAUAAUUUAGGCAUGGCCCAAUAUCUAAACAAAUAUUUUGCCUCAGUCUUUAAUGAGGCUAAUGAGGAGCUUAGGGAUAAUGGUAGGAUGACAAAUGGGAAUGAGGAUAUGGAGGUAGAUAUUACCACAUCUGAGGUAGAAGCCAAACUCGAACAGCUUAAUGGGACUAAAUUGGGGGGCCCAGAUAAUCUUCAUCCAAGAAUAUUAAAGGAACUGGCACAUGAAAUUGCAAGCCCAUUA